GGAGUUGUAGCUCAGCGGUAGAGCACUCACCUAGCACAUGGGAGGUGCUGGGUUCAAUCCUCAGAACCACA
rnacentral:tRNA from 1 species